rnacentral:rRNA from 1 species
UUGCAGUUUAGUGGCGAACGGGUGAGUAAUGAAUGGGUAACGUUCCUUAAAGACUGGGAUAACUAUCCGAAAGGAUAGCUAAUACCAGAUGUGAACUCUAAAACACAAGUUUUUGAGUUUAAAUGAUGGCCUCUACUUGUAAGCUGUCGCUUUAAGAUCGACCCAUUUCCUAUCAGCUAGUUGGUAGGGUAAUUGCCUACCAAGGCAACAACGGGUAGCCGGUCUGAGAGGAUGUUCGGCCACACUGGGACUGAGAUACGGCCCAGACUCCUACGGGAGGCAGCAGUAGGGAAUUUUCCGCAAUGGGCGAAAGCCUGACGGAGCGACGCCGCGUGAGGGAUGAAGGCCUUCGGGUUGUAAACCUCUCUUAUUAGGGAACAAUGUGUUUGAAUGAAUAGUUCAAACAUUUGAUAGUACCUAAUGAAUAAGCUACGGCUAACUCUGUGCCAGCAGCCGCGGUAAUACAGAGGUAGCUAACGUUGUCCGGAUUCACUGGGCAUAAAGGGAUCGUAGGUGGCCUGAUAAGUCAGAUGUGAAAUCUUCCCGCUUAACGGAAAAAUUGCAUUUGAUACUGUUUGGCUUGAGUGCGAGAGGGGAAAAUGGAGUUUCCGGUGUAGCGGUAAAAUGCGUAGAUAUCGGAAAGAACACCAGUGGCGAACGCGGUUUUCUAUUUCGCAACUGACACUGAUGAUCGAAAGCCAGGGGAGCAAACGGGAUUAGAUACCCCGGUAGUCCUGGCCUUAAACUAUGCUCACUAGGGUAUGGGGUGGUUAAUUCUAUCCGUGCCGCCGCUAAUGCAUUAAGUGAGCCGCCUGGGGACUACGCCGCAAGGU